CACGUAGGGGGCAAGCGUUGUCCGGAUUUAUUGGGCGUAAAGAGCUCGUAGGCGGCUCAGUAAGUCAGGUGUGAAACCUCCAGGCUCAACCUGGAGACGCCACCUGAUACUGCUGUGGCUAGAGUCCGGUAGGGGAGCGUGGAAUUCCUGGUGUAGCGGUGAAAUGCGCAGAUAUCAGGAGGAACACCAGCGGCGAAGGCGGCGCUCUGGGCCGGAACUGACGCUGAUGCGCGAAGGCGUGGGGAGCGAACGGG
rnacentral:rRNA from 1 species